rnacentral:rRNA from 1 species
AUUGAACGCUGGCGGCAGGCCUAACACAUGCAAGUCGAGCGGAUGAAGGGAGCUUGCUCCUGGAUUCAGCGGCGGACGGGUGAGUAAUGCCUAGGAAUCUGCCUGGUAGGGGGGGAUAACGUCCGGAAACGGGCGCUAAUACCGCAUACGUCCUGAGGGAGAAAGUGGGGGAUCUUCGGACCUCACGCUAUCAGAUGAGCCUAGGUCGGAUUAGCUAGUUGGUGGGGUAAAGGCCUACCAAGGCGACGAUCCGUAACUGGUCUGAGAGGAUGAUCAGUCACACUGGAACUGAGACACGGUCCAGACUCCUACGGGAGGCAGCAGUGGGGAAUAUUGGACAAUGGGCGAAAGCCUGAUCCAGCCAUGCCGCGUGUGUGAAGAAGGUCUUCGGAUUGUAAAGCCCUUUAAGUUGGGAGGAAGGGCAGUAAGUUAAUACCUUGCUGUUUUGACGUUACCAACAGAAUAAGCACCGGCUAACUUCGUG